CGGGUCGCAGCAGUUUCGAAUCGUUCACAAUGGGGGCAACCCUGAUGGCGCGACGCCGCGUGGGGGAUGAAGGUCUUCGGAUUGUAAACUCCUGUCAUUGGGGACUAAUGGCUAGGCUCAUACCCUGGUUUGAAUUAACCCAAAGAGGAAGCAGUGGCUAACUCUGUGCCAGCAGCCGCGGUAAUACAGAGACUGCAAGCGUUACUCGGAUUCACUGGGCGUAAAGGGAGCGCAGGCGGACUGGUGUGUCAGGCGUGAAAUCUCGGGGCUCAACCCCGAGGCUGCGCCCGAAACUACUAGUCUAGAGACUUGGAGGGGUAAGCGGAAUUCUUGGUGGAGCAGUGAAAUGCGUAGAUAUCAAGAGGAACACCAACGGCGAAGGCAGCUUACUGGACAAGAUCUGACGCUCAGGCUCGAAAGCGUGGGGAGCAAAAGGGAUUAGAUACCCCCGU
rnacentral:rRNA from 1 species